AGUGAACGCUGGCGGUAGGCCUAACACAUGCAAGUCGAACGGCAGCACAGUAAGAGCUUGCUCUUACGGUUGGCGAGUGGCGGACGGGUGAGGAAUACAUCGGAAUCUACUUUUUCGUGGGGGAUAACGGAGGGAAACUUACGCUAAUACCGCAUACGACCUACGGGUGAAAGCAGGGGAUCUUCGGACCUUGCGCGAUUGAAUGAGCCGAUGUCGGAUUAGCUAGUUGGCGGGGUAAAGGCCCACCAAGGCGACGAUCCGUAGCUGGUCUGAGAGGAUGAUCAGCCACACUGGAACUGAGACACGGUCCAGACUCCUACGGGAGGCAGCAGUGGGGAAUAUUGGACAAUGGGCGCAAGCCUGAUCCAGCCAUACCGCGUGGGUGAAGAAGGCCUUCGGGUUGUAAAGCCCUUUUGUUGGGAAAGAAAAGCAGCAGGUUAAUACCCCGCUGUUCUGACGGUACCCAAAGAAUAAGCACCGGCUAACUUCGUG
rnacentral:rRNA from 1 species